rnacentral:lncRNA from 1 species
GAAGAGAAGUUGGGUUUUAGACCAUCCAUUCCUGUCAGUGAGUCACAAGACAGAACCUUUGAGGGUUUAUGUAUUUUUUAGGGUAAACUUGGUACUAGCUGCACUGACGUAACGUUGCCGACACUCGGGGGCUGGAGAGAGGUGACUGAAUAACUUCUUGUGCAUGUGUGUUUGCAUUUCUUGUGGAGACCAUCUUUUUUGUUCAUUUUCCUUCUAGUACUGUGACUGCUGUCGUUUCUCCUGCUAAGAGUAAAGGAGUCUUUUACUUAGUGCAUCGGUCAUCCUUCAUUUUUUGAGCCUUUGUCUCCUCUUACUCCCUACUUUUUUUUUGAAAAAGUAAAGGACUAGUGCAAUUCUCAGUGCUGUCAGACUUAUUUAGUAAAGUCAUUUUCAAAACAGAGAAAACCUCUUAUUCAGUAGCCAUUCCGUGUAUUUUCAAGGCUUUAUUCCCGGUAGGAUUAUUCUGUUUGCUGAUUAUUGAAAACCAGUAGCAGUGUAUUUUCACCAUAUCUGGAAAUAUAGACAGCUCACCAAGAAGAAAAAAAAAUGUGAGCAGCUACUGGGACGUGUUUCCUCUUGUACAAAAUAAUACAAAAGAACCUUGUUUGAAA